ensembl:snRNA U6 U6 spliceosomal RNA
GUGCUCACUUCAGCACAUACACUGAAGUUGGAACAGUACAGAGAUCAGCAUGGCCCUUGCUCAAGGAUGACACACGAAUUUGUGAAACAUUCCAUUAAAAA